UACGUAGGGGGCUAGCGUUGUCCGGAUUUAUUGGGCGUAAAGAGCGUGUAGGCGGCCAGGUAGGUCUGCUGUGAAAACUCGAGGCUCAACCUCGAGACGUCGGCGGAAACCAUCUGGCUAGAGUACGGAAGAGGCAAGUGGAAUUCCUGGUGUAGCGGUGGAAUGCGCAGAUAUCAGGAGGAACACCUAUAGCGAAGGCAGCUUGCUGGGACGUUACUGACGCUAAGGCGCGAAAGCGUGGGGAGCGAACAGG
rnacentral:rRNA from 1 species